UACAGAGGUCUCAACCGUUGUUCGGAUUCAUUGGGCGUAAAGGGUGCGUAGGCGGUCGUGCAAGUCGGAUGUGAAAUCUCAGGGCUCAACCCUGAAACUGCAUUCGAUACUGCGGCGCUUGAGGACUGGAGAGGAGACUGGAAUUCAUGGUGUAGCAGUGAAAUGCGUAGAGAUCAUGAGGAAGACCAGUGGCGAAGGCGGGUCUCUGGACAGUUCCUGACACUGAGGCACGAAGGCCAGGGGAGCAAACGGG
rnacentral:rRNA from 1 species